UACAUUACAGUACAGUACUGCAGUUCAUAAUGCAUUCUGGGUAAAUUUGUUUGAGCGGGAAAAUUUUACAGUAUAUUUUGGUCUUGAUGUAACCUUGCUGUAGCCAUUGCUGUAAUGUGCCAGGUGUACUUGCAAUAAUCAGAGAAAGUGCGCCAGAGUCCAAUCACACAGACAGAGGGAGAGCACAACUCUUGGCUGCAGCUGAAGGAGGACGAUUGAUUUCUGUCAGUUCGUCUUACCAUUGCUUGUAAGUCGGAUUGGGUAAGAUGGAUCAUCUUUAAAGGCACCAGGAGUUAAGGCAGAUGUGGAGGCACAACGGGUGACACCAGACACACACCAAGCACAUUAUGUUCGGACAUUCAAUCAUGACAGGAUCCAGGUGGAUGCUGUCCAUUGAGGAAAGAGUUUGUGCAGCGGUUUCUGGAUAGAAUUAAUUCCAAAGAUGGGAAAAAGUGCACAUCCAGACAAGGAGCAAGCAAAUAGACAAGGAACUUGGUGCAGAGAAAAGCUGUGGCCAUUAACCCCCAUGUGAACAGCUUCAUGCAGUCCCUGAUUGAGUUCGAAUGGACGACUUCAAAGUAAAGGCCACUGUGGUCUGUCUGCCACAGUUUAAUGCAUUUGUUUUUAGUGUUAAAUGAAAUUCAAGUAGAAUAUUUAAAACUAUGGGCCAGUGUUGUUUUUACCACAGUGAAAUGUUACCUUUUAGUCGAUGAUGGACUUUAAACUGAAAACUUCAAACUAUGGACCAGUGUUCUAUUUGCCAGAGUUAAAUAUGUUACAGCAGGGGUCUCCAAACUUGUUUAUACUUGUUGAUUUUAUUUUAUGUUACUUGAUUAUAUGUUUAUUAUUGUUUAAAAUCUUGUUUUAAAUAUGUUUUGUUUCGAUUAAAUGUUUUUUAAAUAAAAUUUUGAUACAAACAUUGCUUGGAUUGCCUUUUAAUUCAUUAUGUCAUGUCAAGGAUAGCAUUUUUACCAUAUUAAUAACUAUAGAUUUAAACCUAAAUCUCUAGCUAUUUUAUAUAAUAUUAUUGUAUUAACUGUAAUAAGUAAUAAAUAGUAUUUAUGGGUCAAUAUAGACAUUACAGUAAAUUACUGUAAAAAUAGACUACUGUAAUAAAAUAUUGUAAAAUUACAGUACAGUACUGCUUUGUAACUAUACAGUACUAGUUUGUGUACUGUAAAAUGGUAUUACAGUACAGUACUGUAAAACCAAAAUACAGUAACUUACUGGCAACCGUGCUGCCAGUACCGUACUGUAAAAAUACAGGGAA